rnacentral:rRNA from 1 species
AUUGAACGCUGGCGGCAGGCCUAACACAUGCAAGUCGAACGGUAACAGGAAGAAGCUUGCUUCUUUGCUGACGAGUGGCGGACGGGUGAGUAAUGUCUGGGAAACUGCCUGAUGGAGGGGGAUAACUACUGGAAACGGUAGCUAAUACCGCAUAACGUCGCAAGACCAAAGAGGGGGACCUUCGGGCCUCUUGCCAUCGGAUGUGCCCAGAUGGGAUUAGCUAGUAGGUGGGGUAACGGCUCACCUAGGCGACGAUCCCUAGCUGGUCUGAGAGGAUGACCAGCCACACUGGAACUGAGACACGGUCCAGACUCCUACGGUAGGCAGCAGUGGGGAAUAUUGCGCAAUGGGCGCAAGCCUGAUGCAGCCAUGCCGCGUGUAUGAAGAAGGCCUUCGGGUUGUAAAGUACUUUCAGCGGGGAGGAAGGGAGUAAAGUUAAUACCUUUGCUCAUUGACGUUACCCGCAGAAGAAGCACCGGCUAACUCCGUG